UUUUCCUGCCCUGAUGUAUUUCUUAAGUGCAGCUUUAACACUCACCACCAUCAUCAGCAUGUUAUCAACUUUUUUAGUGUAUAAGAUGAAAAGAAGUAACAACUGCCAAUCCAGAGCAGACUCAAACGCAAAUGAUUCUGUAAAUUUAGAGAGCACCCAAGAGGACAACCUUCAUUAUGCUGCUUUGAGAAAAAUUAGGACAAAACGAGCAAGAAGACAGACGAGCAACACCCAGGAUGAAUGUGUGUACUCCGAAUGUGUGUACUCGGGUAUAAAGUAUAGACAUCAGACAUAGAAUAGUGAUUUUUAGCAUUAUCUUUCUGCUGUAGUGAAAAUUUUGGCAACAAUUUUUAAAUAUUUUUUCCAACUUCUCUUUGAUCUGAAAGAAAAAUGAUUUAACUG